rnacentral:rRNA from 1 species
GACGAACGCUGGCGGCGUGCCUAAUACAUGCAAGUAGAACGCUGAAGGAGGAGCUUGCUUCUCUGGAUGAGUUGCGAACGGGUGAGUAACGCGUAGGUAACCUGCCUGGUAGCGGGGGAUAACUAUUGGAAACGAUAGCUAAUACCGCAUAAUAGCAGUUGUUGCAUGACAACUGUUUGAAAGGUGCAAUUGCACCACUACCAGAUGGACCUGCGUUGUAUUAGCUAGUUGGUGGGGUAACGGCUCACCAAGGCGACGAUACAUAGCCGACCUGAGAGGGGGAUCGGCCACACUGGGACUGAGACACGGCCCAGACUCCUACGGGAGGCAGCAGUAGGGAAUCUUCGGCAAGGGACGGAAGUCUGACCGAGCAACGCCGCGGGAGGGAAGAAGGUUUUCGGAUCGUAAAGCUCUGUUGUAAGAGAAGAACGAGUGUGAGAGUGGAAAGUUCACACUGUGACGGUAUCUUACCAGAAAGGGACGGCUAACUACGUG